rnacentral:rRNA from 1 species
GACGAACGCUGGCGGCGUGCCUAAUACAUGCAAGUCGAGCGGACUGAAUGGGAGCUUGCUCUUGUUCGGUCAGCGGCGGACGGGUGAGUAACACGUGGGCAACCUGCCCGCAAGACCGGGAUAACUCCGGGAAACCGGAGCUAAUACCGGAUAACACCGAAGACCGCAUGGUCUUUGGUUGAAAGGCGGCGCACGCUGCCACUUGCGGAUGGGCCCGCGGCGCAUUAGCUAGUUGGUGAGGUAACGGCUCACCAAGGCGACGAUGCGUAGCCGGCCUGAGAGGGUGGCCGGCCACACUGGGACUGAGACACGGCCCAGACUCCUACGGGAGGCAGCAGUAGGGAAUCUUCCGCAAUGGGCGAAAGCCUGACGGAGCGACGCCGCGUGAGCGAAGAAGGCCUUCGGGUCGUAAAGCUCUGUUGUGAGGGACGAAGGAGCGCCGUUUGAAGAAGGCGGCGCGGUGACGGUACCUCACGAGGAAGCCCCGGCUAACUACGUG